GAUGAACGCUGGCGGCGUGCUUAACACAUGCAAGUCGAACGGUGAAGCAGAGCUUGCUCUGUGGAUCAGUGGCGAACGGGUGAGUAACACGUGAGCAACCUGCCCCUGACUCUGGGAUAAGCGCUGGAAACGGCGUCUAAUACUGGAUAUGUGACGUGGCCGCAUGGUCUGCGUCUGGAAAGAAUUUCGGUUGGGGAUGGGCUCGCGGCCUAUCAGCUUGUUGGUGAGGUAAUGGCUCACAAAGGCGUCGACGGGUAGCCGGCCUGAGAGGGUGACCGGCCACACUGGGACUGAGACACGGCCCAGACUCCUACGGGAGGCAGCAGUGGGGAAUAUUGCACAAUGGGCGAAAGCCUGAUGCAGCAACGCCGCGUGAGGGAUGACGGCCUUCGGGUUGUAAACCUCUUUUAGCAGGGAAGAAGCGAAAGUGACGGUACCUGCAGAAAAAGCGCCGGCUAACUACGUGCCAGCCGCCGCCGUAA
rnacentral:rRNA from 1 species